rnacentral:rRNA from 1 species
GAGUAAUGCAUAGGAAUCUGCCCGGUAGUGGGGGAUAACCUGGGGAAACCCAGGCUAAUACCGCAUACGUCCUACGGGAGAAAGCAGGGGAUCUUCGGACCUUGCGCUAUCGGAUGAGCCUAUGCCGGAUUAGCUAGUUGGUAGGGUAACGGCCUACCAAGGCGACGAUCCGUAGCUGGUCUGAGAGGAUGAUCAGCCACACUGGGACUGAGACACGGCCCAGACUCCUACGGGAGGCAGCAGUGGGGAAUAUUGGACAAUGGGCGCAAGCCUGAUCCAGCCAUGCCGCGUGUGUGAAGAAGGCUUUCGGGUUGUAAAGCACUUUCAGUGGGGAAGAAGGCCUGUCGGUUAAUACCUGGCAGGGACGACAUCACCCACAGAAGAAGCACCGGCUAACUCCGUGCCAGCAGCCGCGGUAAUACGGAGGGUGCGAGCGUUAAUCGGAAUUACUGGGCGUAAAGCGCGCGUAGGCGGCGUGAUAAGCCGGUUGUGAAAGCCCCGGGCUCAACCUGGGAACGGCAUCCGGAACUGUCGCGCUAGAGUGCAGGAGAGGAAGGUAGAAUUCCCGGUGUAGCGGUGAAAUGCGUAGAGAUCGGGAGGAAUACCAGUGGCGAAGGCGGCCUUCUGGACUGACACUGACGCUGAGGUGCGAAAGCGUGGGUAGCAAACAGGAUUAGAUACCCUGGUAGUCCACGCCGUAAACGAUGUCGACUAGCCGUUGGGGCGCCUCGAGUGCUUAGUGGCGAAGUUAACGCGAUAAGUCGACCGCCUGGGGAGUACGGCCGCAAGGUUAAAACUCAAAUGAAUUGACGGGGGCCCGCACAAGCGGUGGAGCAUGUGNUUUAAUUCGAUGCAACGCGAAGAACCCUUACCUACUCCUUGACAUCCUCGG